rnacentral:rRNA from 1 species
UACGUAGGUGACCAGCGUUGUCCGGAUUUACUGGGCGUAAAGAGCGCGCAGGCGGUCGGUCAAGUCGAGUGUGAAAGCCCCCGGCUCAACUGGGGAGGGUCACUCGAUACUGAUCGACUUGAAGGCAGGAGAGGGAAGCGGAAUUCCCGGUGUAGUGGUGAAAUGCGUAGAUAUCGGGAGGAACACCAGUGGCGAAGGCGGCUUCCUGGCCUGUUCUUGACGCUGAGGCGCGAAAGCUAGGGGAGCAAACGGG